AGCGUGACGCUACUGAAAACUGCUGAGAUGCAGGGUGAGGAAGGCUGCCCGGCCCCCCAGAACCUGACCUUGCCUCUGACAAGAGUACCUGGGGUGCAGCUACGGCAAAGAAGAACCUGGAAAGAGAGCAAGCACAAGCAGUGGGAAAGGAGAGGGAGAGGGAGAAGCAGCCUCCCAGCAGGGAGCCCAGCCUGGAGCUGACCCCAGGACCUGGAGAUCACGACCUGAGCCAAAGGCCCCGCUCAACCAGCUGAGCACCCCCAGGCGCCCCAGCUGCCGUCACGUCUGAUAAGAGAGAGACCAUCAUCUGUGAUGGUGGUCAUAGAAGUUGCUGAGAGAUGGCCAGAAGGGGUGAGAUCCCAGAGGCGGCUUUGCAGGAGGAUGCGGAGGUAAGCAGAGGCACAGCCUCUAGAGCUUGCUGUCACUUGUCUUCUGCUGAACUUCAAUAGAACGCAAAACGGAUGUUAACAAAAAAACUCAGAAACGGGCUUCCAGGCUUAGACACCCGGCUCUUUUUCACCGAUGGGGAUCGUGGCUGUGAUCAGAGGAAAUUCUUUCCUGCCCCAGUGGAAUUUUAUUUUUUAUUUCUUUUUAUUUUUAUUUUAUUAUUAUUUUUUGGAAUUGAGUUUUGUACUGGAUAGUGGAGUUUUUUUCAGCAAUUUUGACAGUGUUGGGUAAAUGGCACAUGGACUUUUGGGUGCUCUGCCCUGAGAACAGGUUUGGGGAUGCUGGAGGGGAGGGAGCCCUGAAAGCCUUCUGCACUCCUCCGUCCCCCUCCCGGCUCACUGAACUUCUCCCCAUAUCCUUCCUCCUCUCUCUCUCUCUCUCUCCCCCUAGCUCCCUCCCCACCCCACCACCUCUCUCCCUCUCUGCCCUGGUUAUUAAUAUCCUCAAGGGAGCCCAGAAAGUUAAACCCAAGUCCCCCCUGGAGUUCAGCUGGCAGGAAGAAAAUCCCGAAAUGGGAGUAAUUUGAUACGUCUGGAAGCAGGGAAAACAAAAUUUAAAAUAGAAGCUUCCUUCCAAGAGGCAAUUAUAAUAAUGUCUUACGGCUUUACAUCACUUGGCAGGCUGUAAUGCGUUGUUAGGUUCAUUACUUCAUUUGAUCUUUAUAUCAGUCCUGGGAGAAACUGUGCUCUUAUCAACUUCCCGUGAUUAAAAACAUGAAACAACAACAAAACAGAACAUAAAGAAACAUAACAGACAAAUACAUGAAGGCUUAGAAGGGUAAAGACCAUUCCCAAAGGUGCUUCGGGUAGGAAAGUACAGCCUUCUAAGCGACUUGUUCACAUCCACGGAGCAAAAAAGCGCAUGACUUCAGCAAGGAGAGGGACCAAACGAUGGCUACUUGGCCCACUCGGGAUGGCCCCCCCAGGGAAUGGGGGGGGGAGUCAGCCCCUAAAGUUGACAUAGUCUAUGAUCUCAUUUACAUAAAAUUCUUGAAAUGCCGAAGUCUUCAAGACCCCAUGGUCCAGCGGUUGGGUAUGGAAGGAGGUAGGGCAGGAGGGGGGUGGGUGCAGCUGUGACCCAAGGCAUCUUGGUGGUGCCAGAAUUGCUGAAUAUCUGCACUGUGACAGUGGAGACAGGACACUUCACGUGUGAAAAAGCACAUAGAUCCAAAUGCACACACACGCACAAGUACAAGCAAAACGGGAGAAAUCUAGGUAGAUGGACUCCAUCACCAUCAACAUCCCGGUUGUGAUAUUUUACUACAGUUUUGCAAAAUGUUACCAUUGGGAGAAACUAGGUAAAGGGUAGACAAGCUCUCUCUGUUUAAUUUCUUACAACUGCAUCUGAAUCUAUAAUUAUCUCAAUAAAAACUCCAU